AGCGGAGGAAAAGAAACCAACAGGGAUUGCCCUAGUAACGGCGAGUGAAGCGGCAACAGCUCAAAUUUGAAAUCUGGCUUCGGCCCGAGUUGUAAUUUGCAGAGGAAGCUUUAGGCGCGGCACCUUCUGAGUCCCCUGGAACGGGGCGCCAUAGAGGGUGAGAGCCCCGUAUAGUUGGAUGCCUAGCCUGUGUAAAGCUCCUUCGACGAGUCGAGUAGUUUGGGAAUGCUGCUCAAAAUGGGAGGUAAAUUUCUUCUAAAGCUAAAUACCGGCCAGAGACCGAUAGCGCACAAGUAGAGUGAUCGAAAGAUGAAAAGCACUUUGAAAAGAGGGUUAAAUAGCACGUGAAAUUGUUGAAAGGGAAGCGCUUGUGACCAGACUUGCGCCGGGCGGAUCAUCCGGUGUUCUCACCGGUGCACUCCGCCCGGCUCAGGCCAGCAUCGGUUCUCGCGGGGGGAUAAAGGUCCUGGGAACGUAGCUCCUCCGGGAGUGUUAUAGCCCGGGGCGUAAUGCCCUCGCGGGGACCGAGGUUCGCGCAUCUGCAAGGAUGCUGCGUAGACGAGGAUU
rnacentral:rRNA from 1 species